GUUAGGGUCUGGUUAGGGUCUGGUUAGGGUCUGAUUAGGGUCUGGUUAGGGUCUGAUUAGGGUCUGGUUAGGGUCUGGUUAGGGUCUGAUUAGGGUCUGGUUAGAGUCUGUUUAGGGUCUGGUUAGAGUCUGGUUAGUGUCUGAUUAGGGUCUGGUUAGAGUCUGGUUAGAGUCUGGUUAGGGUCUGGUUAGGGUCUGGUUAGGGUCUGGUUAGGGUCUGGUUAGGGUCUGGUUAGAGUCUGGUUAGGGUCUGGUUAGGGUCUGGUUAGGGUCUGGUUAGGGUCUGGUUAGGGUCUGGUUAGGGUCUGGUUAGAGUCUGGUUAGGGUCCGGUUAGGGUCCGGUUAGAGUCAGGUUAGGGUCUGGUUAGGGUCUGGUUAGGGUCUGGUUAGGGUCUGGUUAGGGUCUGAUUAGGGUCUGGUUAGGGUCUGGUUAGGGUCUGAUUAGGGUCUGGUUAGAGUCUGUUUAGGGUCUGGUUAGAGUCUGGUUAGUGUCUGAUUAGGGUCUGGUUAGAGUCUGGUUAGAGUCUGGUUAGGGUCUGGUUAGGGUCUGGUUAGGGUCUGGUUAGGGUCUGAUUAGGGUCUGGUUAGGGUCUGAUUAGGGUCUGGUUAGGGUCUGGUUAGGGUCUGGUUAGGGUCUGGUUAGGGUCUGGUUAGGGUCUGGUUAGAGUCUGAUUAGGGUUCGGUGCAUGCCUCAGAUUUUCACUUUGUCACAUAUAUCGGAUGGUUGGGGAUGGGUUAUUAACAAACAGCAACACACACAUACACAUCACACACACACACACACACACACACACACUUUCAUUACAUUGACAUGCACCUAUCAACACGUUAACGUCUCUCUCCCCUCUCUCUCGCCCUCUCCCCUCUUUCCCCUCUCUCUCUCGCCCUCUCCCCUCUCUCCCAGCUCUCUCUCUC
rnacentral:lncRNA from 1 species